rnacentral:rRNA from 1 species
GCUUGAGCACGUAGGUGGGUUUGUAAGUCAGAUGUGAAAGCCUUCUGUUCAACGGAAGAAUUGCGUCUGAAACUGCGAGUCUUGAGUGUAGGAGGGGAGAAUGGAACUUCUGGUGGAGCGGUGAAAUGCGUAGAUAUCAGAAGGAACGCCGGCGGCGAAAGCGAUUCUCUGGCCUAUUACUGACACUCAGUGUGCGAAAGCUAGGGGAGCAAACGGGAUUAGAUACCCCGGUAGUCCUAGCUGUAAACGAUGGGCACUAAGUAGAGGGGAUUACCGAUGUUCUCUCUGCAGUAGCUAACGCAUUAAGUGCCCCGCCUGGGGAGUACGGCCGCAAGGCUAAAACUCAAAAGAAUUGACGGGGGCUCGCACAAGCGGUGGAGCAUGUGGUUUAAUUCGAUGCAACGCGGAGAACCUUACCGGGGCUUGACAUGGUAGAAGUAGGAACCCGAAAGGGUAACGAACGGUAUCCAGUCCGUAGCUAUCACAGGUGUUGCAUGGCUGUCGUCAGCUCGUGUCGUGAGACGUUGGGUUAAGUCCCCUAACGAGCGAAACCCUUGUUUUUAGUUGCCAGCGGGUUAUGCCGGGCACCCUAGAGAGACUGCCGUCGUCAAGACGGAGGAAGGUGGGGAUGACGUCAAGUCAUCAUGGCCCUUAUGCCCCGGGCUACACACGUGCUACAAUGGCCGGUACAAACGGAAGCGAAGCCGAGAGGUGAAGCGAAUCCAAGC